GAGAAGAUGAGGUAGGCUGCAGUGGAGGGAGGGGGUGUAUUAAUGAUAUUUUUUUUUUAAAAAAGUUAGAUUUAAUUAUAUUAGAAAAUUAUUUUUAUGAUUAUUUUAAGUUAAAUGCCACGUAUCGUUAUUUAAUUCGCCACUUUGCCACAUCAUCAGCGUGUGUAUUACACGCAGUUCACAUUUUUUGCCACGUCAGUAAAUUGGGCUCAAUUUGUGAAGGAAUAAAGGGUUCAAUAGGUACCUGACUUAAUUGAGGUGCCUAUACGGGAAAAGUGAAAUAGUUCAG
rnacentral:lncRNA from 1 species